AGAGUUUGAUCCUGGCUCAGGACGAACGCUGGCGGCGUGCUUAACACAUGCAAGUUGAACGGAAUAUGUUGGAAGGGUAACCGGAAGGCAUAUUUAGUGGCGAACGGGUGAGUAAUGCGUGAGAACGUAUCCUCAAGAGGGGGACAACAUUGGGAAACCGAUGCUAAUACCCCAUAAGCCGGGAGGUAAAAGGAGCAAUCCGCUUGAGGAGCGGUUCAUGUCCUAUCAGCUGGUUGGUGAGGUAACGGCUCACCAAGGCGAAGACGGGUAGCCGGCCUGAGAGGGUGAACGGCCACACUGGAACUGAGAGACGGUCCAGACUCCUACGGGAGGCAGCAGUGGGGAAUAUUGGGCAAUGGGGGAAACCCUGACCCAGCGACGCCGCGUGAGGGAAGAAGGCCUUAGGGUCGUAAACCUCUGUUGUGUGGGAAGAAGAGCGUGACGGUACCACACGAGGAAGUCCCGGCUAACUACGUGCCAGCAGCCGCGGUAAUACGUAGGGGACGAGCGUUGUCCGGAUUUACUGGGCGUAAAGGGCGCGUAGGCGGUCAUUUAAGUCAGCUGUGAAAUGGUUUGGCUUAACCGGAUCAUGCGGUUGAAACUGGAUGACUGGAGCGCUGGAGAGGCAAGUGGAAUUCCCAGUGUAGCGGUGAAAUGCGUAGAUAUUGGGGAAGAACACCGGUGGCGAAGGCGACUUGCUGGCCAGCAACUGACGCUGAGGCGCGAAAGCCAGGGGAGCAAACGGGAUUAGAUACCCCGGUAGUCCUGGCCGUAAACGAUGAAUGCUAGGUGUGGGCAUCGAGAGGUGUCCGUGCCGGAGCUAACGCGAUAAGCAUUCCGCCUGGGGAGUACGAUCGCAAGAUUGAAACUCAAAGGAAUUGACGG
rnacentral:rRNA from 1 species